CGAACGGGUGAGUAACACGUGGGUGACCUGCCCUUAGCUCUGGGAUAAGCCUGGGAAACUGGGUCUAAUACCGGAUAUGACUCCAUGACGCAUGUUGUGGGGUGGAAAGCCUUGUGCGGCUGGGGAUGGGCCCGCGGCCUAUCAGCUUGUUGGUGGGGUGAUGGCCUACCAAGGCGACGACGGGUAGCCGGCCUGAGAGGGCGACCGGCCACACUGGGACUGAGACACGGCCCAG
rnacentral:rRNA from 1 species